ensembl:lncRNA
GGCUUUUGUGACCUGACCUCGGGGGUGGUGCCAUGUGACCUCUGCUGCACGGUAUUGGUCAGAGUACUCACCACACAGCUAGAUUCAAGGGGAGAGGGACACAGACCCUACUCUCAACGGGAGGAGUGCCAAAGAUUUUGCAGUCGUUUUUUAAAAAACUGCCACUGGACGUUUAUAAAGAGCUCACUCUGUGCUAGGCAGCAUGUAAGCGCGUGACCUGCUUAGUCCUAGGUGACACUCGCUAAAACCUUUUGAAGCCCUUACUAGCCUUGGUCCCAUCUUACAGAAGAGGAAAUAAGGCACAGAGAGGUAAAGGAGAGCCCAACCCACAGCUAGUAAAUGGAAGAGGGCGUGUCCAGAGCCACAUCACUCCCCCGGUUGAAAACCACCCAUUUUAGCCAAUUACACUUCAGAUAAACUCAGGCUCCCCACUCUGAUUGGUAAGACCUCACAUCGUAUGGCCCCACCCCCUCACCGGCCUCAUCUUGUCCCCUAUCUCCUGCUCACCUCAUUCUCCAGCCACACUGGACGCUCAGCAGUUCCCUCCUCCUAUAAUUCCCUUCCCAGAUCUUCACUUAUCUGCCCCCUUCUCAUCAUUUAGAUUUCAGCUCAAGCGUCCCCUCCCUUGGUGGUUCUCCACUGCAUCCCAGCCCUUACCGCAGACUGAAAUUAUCUCAUUGAUGUGUUUGUUUUACUGUUGGCCUCCCACUGCUGGAAUGUCAGAUCCGAGGAGGAGAGGGCGUCCUUGCUCACGGCAGCACCUCCAGCACCCGGCCCGGGCUGGCGCGUGGUCCCACUCAGCGCUGUUGAGUGAGUGUGUGAGCGUCUGACUCAGCGCCCGGCCCCCUGAUCCUUGUGCAGUUCUGCACUCUUGCCCUGCGUGCCUCCGUUCAGCACGUGCAGGCUAUGUGCAGGCAGGAGAGAUUUCUUUUCAUUCAUGGUUGGAUUCAGACAGAACGGGUACAGUUUUAGAGCUACAGGGACCUUCAAGUUCAUCCUGUCCAGUGUUCACUCUGGUCCAAGCUGCUUCAGCCUGUUCGUUUGACAGACAGAGAAACAGAGGCUGUGACCUGCCUGAGGUUAUGUAACUGGUGCGUGGUGGCGCCAAGAUCCACCGGGGGCGCGGGGGCCAUCUGAUCCACACCUUUUCCCACCUUCCUGAUGGAAAGAACAGUUCCCGAGCAGCAAGAGACUUGCCCAGGCUCGUAAGUGCAAAGCUGGGGCUGGAACCUGUCCCUUUGGGGGUUCCCCGAGGCCCCUGAGGCCUCCCAGACUCAUCUGCAGCUUUGCCUCCUUCCACCGCACUGAGGGCCACCCCGUGGGCACGCUGGUCAAUGAGCGCUGACCUCAAGGGUGCCGGAUCUGCUUUAAAGAGAAGCCCUCUGAGAGGACCGGGCCCCUCCCAGCGUUUCCUGUUUCUGGGGAGCUGGUCACGGCCGUGUAUGUGCCGCUCUGCAGCGGCAGCGGAGCGAGGGGCUCCCGGGGGACGGGCGGGCCGCUGGCCUGCAGGUUCCCCACAAAGCAAGGAAGCGUGAUGUCACCAGAAGGAGGUAAACAGGAGGACGCUUCCUCUUUUGCUUCCACGGGGCUCUUGUCAAAUCCAGAUGGGUCUGAAACUGCAGAACAUUUCUCUUCCAGCCUGCCCGCGGGCUCAGGUGGCUUUGCCGGGGUUGCGCCUUUGCAGGGAGGAGCAGGUUAGAACAGACCGGUGACACGCAGACAGUGCUAGAUCCCAGAGGGAGAGCCGGGGGUGGGGGGCUCUGUGGCUGACACCGGCCCCACUCCCACCCACCCCCACUUCAUGGAUGAGGACGCUGCGUCCCAGAGGGUUUAAAUGACUCCUGAACAGAUGCUUCGUUACCACUGUGAGCACACGAGUCCUCAAUACUGUGGCUUGGGGCAGGCGGUGGUCAGAAAACUCCACUUAGCCCUGAAUUGUCUUCAUGCUGGUCUACUGCAGAUCCUACUUUCCCAUCACUAAAUGUUUACUCCUUGGGUAGCUGGCCUGGAGCAGGAAGGCCACCAAUGUCAGGAGAGCUGCCCUUCUGCCUUGGCUCUCUGCUUUGACAAGUCACUUUAUCUCUCUGAUCCCAGUCUUCUCCUCUAUGAAAUGGGGUAAUGAUACCCGCCUCAUAGAGCUACUGCGAGAAUUACCGAGACAAUAUCUAUAAAGAUCCCAGCUUGGAGACUGGACCAUGGAUGGAGCUGGAAGUGAAGAAGGACGCCCCUGCCCUCUCAGAGCCAAAGCGAAGGCUUUGAAGGCAAGACGGCAGCGCUGAAAGGCGUCACAGCAACCAAGGAAAGGGAGGUCCAUGUCACCCACCUUCGCAGCCCAGGCAUCCUCGGAGGAGAGCCCCAGGAGCAACAGGCCUGAGCUCUGUGUCCUCACCGAGGUCCCCGGCAGCCGCGAAGCCGCGAAGGAGACAGAACAGCACGUGUGUUCAUUGUCGAUGGUCAACACCAGCGCACACAGCCUGGGAGGCUCUAGGGGACGUCAUGUGGCCCAGGCCACCCCCCGACGGGCCUGAAGGGGAGAGAAGGCACGUGCUCCACGGCUCCAGGCUGUGGGGCUUUGGGUGUUGCCCAAACUGGGAUCAUUUGAACAGGGUCCAGGGGGGCACCCAGCUCUGAGAUCACUGGGGGAUUUUCAGUGAAUCGCCCAAUAACAGCCGCCCAUUGCCGAGGUCCCCAGGCCGUUCCCUGAUGGUCCUGGCUCUGAGCCAGGAAGGGGUCUCCCUACGGGCCUUUUGGACGGAGGGUUACCGGGAAGCAGGACUCUCAGUGCUAGACCCGGGCUAGCCCAGCUUCUGGGUGACCCCGGCUCCUGCUCGCAGGGCCUCGCCCGGAGGAGGACUUCCCUCCAGCUCCGCUCCCCCAGCACGGCCCUCUCUGCCGGCGGUGCUCCCAUGUGAUCACUUAGCUCAUUACUUCAGAAUGAACUGUUUCUGUACCUGUUUGCUGGCCCAGCAGUAAAGCCCCUCAGGAGUGGAGACCCUGCCUCGCUCAUCCUUGUGCCUCCAGGGUCUAGCCCCACGUCUGAACGCCCACCAUCCCUGGACCCCAGACUCAGCAUCCUGUUCUCGGAGUCGCUCCUCCUAGUUACAAAGCACUGUGUACAGGGCCCAGGCGUUCCCCUCAUACAUCUCUCACCCCAUGAAUCCCGUCUGACGUUUGCCUCUCGGAGGACCUGGGCUGACAGACAGAGCUGUCA